UGUGGCCCAAGUCUUUGUAGAGCUAUUUCCAUAUAAUAGGGACAAAAGAUGAAUCUUUUGGGUCUUUUCCAAGAGAAAAUAAUCAUCAGUGGGACUCAGUUUUUAAGAUGUUCCUAUCUGUGCUAUUUCUGAUACACUGAAAUUGGAGCCUAUGAAAUAAUCUUUCUUUAAGAACUGACACAUUAGACCCACCCAAACACAGGCUAUAGGAACCUGAAUGGAUUGCAAAGACCCUAAAGACCAAGAAAAGUGAAUGUGCACCUGGCUGCACUGCUUACAACAUCCAUAACCUGGGCCCUGAGAGAUGAGCAGAAAGCACAGAUGGCCCUGUCUGCUUAAACCCAGCAGAGACUGAGAACGACUUUGGAGUUGUUUAAAGUUGUUCCUUUUCUCCAAGCAACCUGGCUAUUCAGCAGCUGUUCAGUGAGAUAUACAUGGGGUCAUGAUGUUUACAACUUACUAUCAAAUGGUUCAAUGACAACAAAAACAAAACCAUAUAUACAGAUAUAUACACA